UAGGGAAUCUUCGGCAAUGGACGAAAGUCUGACCGAGCAACGCCGCGUGAGUGAAGAAGGUUUUCGGAUCGUAAAACUCUGUUGUUAGAGAAGAACAAGGACGUUAGUAACUGAACGUCCCCUGACGGUAUCUAACCAGAAACCCACGGCUAACUACGUGCCAGCAGCCGCGGUAAUACGUAGGUGGCAAGCGUUGUCCGGAUUUAUUGGGCGUAAAGCGAGCGCAGGCGGUUUCUUAAGUCUGAUGUGAAAGCCCCCGGCUCAACCGGGGAGGGUCAUUGGAAACUGGGAGACUUGAGUGCAGAAGAGGAGAGUGGAAUUCCAUGUGUAGCGGUGAAAUGCGUAGAUAUAUGGAGGAACACCAGUGGCGAAGGCGGCUCUCUGGUCUGUAACUGACGCUGAGGCUCGAAAGCGUGGGGAGCAAACAGG
rnacentral:rRNA from 2 species